rnacentral:lncRNA from 1 species
AUGUGUGUUAAAGAAUCCCUCAGAACAGGUUUCUCUUACCAACAGCUUCAGUUACAUGAACUUGCUCUGCCAGUUUUGGUUACUCUACCACUGAUGUGUUCUUGGAAGACGAACAGAAGAAACAGAGAGAACCUAACAAAGAGCGGGAGAGAGAACAUUGAGUACAUACCGAUAAAUCCAUUCCAUCAGCACCAAAUAUACAUAGGUGUUGAGCCUAUACUCUAUAUGUGUACAAUGCUGCGAUCAGUUUUUCUUGUUUUCUCUUGAUGUCCAUGUUGGGUAAUCGACCCAAGUAGGAAUCAGUCAGCAAGUGGAUGUGAGCAGUGAGUGCCUGUAUGUCUCUCUCCCUCUCUCUCUCUGUGUCCCUGAAAGAGCGGCCCCAGCCAUAGCAGACAUUUUUGUGGUGAAAUCAUUAAACCCACGUGCAGAGCUCUCUCUGUGGUCACUGGGGGUCUUGCUCCUCUGCCUUUGGCUGAAUAAAUCAUAAAGUUUGCUGGGAGACCACACAAGAAGCAGCAGCAGUGGAGGCAAGCAAGAAGGCAGGCAGACCCAGCGCUGAGCCGAGCAAAGCAAAGCACAGACACACAUACACACAAACCUUUCCAGUCUGUACACCCCCCAGAACACCCCACCCUCCUUGAGUGCAAAACACCAGAGGAGAGAGGAUGAAUGUAUAAUGUGUGAGAGAACGAGUCAUACAAAACAGAAGGAAAUGAGAGAAAAGGAAAGGGGAAAAAAAACAGUGGAGGCGAAGAGUGCAAGGACAACAUAAAUGUAUGGACAGAGUUGGCAAAAAGCAGAAUAUGUGCAGAAGACAAAGAGGAGAGAGAGAUGGAGUGAGAGCGAGAACUUAAAAGUAUGGUUCCAGCCCAAAAGUGAUUGAAUAGUUAUAGUGAAAUAAAUAUGCUUACUGACUUAACUGUUUCUGUAUUGUUUGUUGUUGACAUUAAAGGCUCUGUUAACAAGCUCUUGGAAGAAACUAGUCAAAUUAGACAAAUGCCAUCAUGAAAGGUUGUGUGACGUCCACAUCCUCAAAAAAGAAAGAAAAAAAAACACCAGUUAUACAACAUUAAAUACAUGUUCACUUGUAGUGUAGAUGAACAUGGCUGUGCCAUCCUCAAUUAAUUGAAUGCAGUGAAUUAUUGGCUGUUGAAUUAAGACAUUUCAAAACCAAAAUUGUUGACUUUCCUAUUCGUCAUGUUCAUAUUUUUGCAUAUUGUUGGACCUACUGUGUUGAGUCACCAUUUGACAUUCAUUAAUAUUUGAGUCCUAAAGCAAAAACAGUGGAAAAUCACUGACUAGAUGUAAUUAACAUUUGGAUUUUGAAGAUUUGGAAAAGCAACAUUUUCCCAACAAAUCUCAAGAGCUAACUUGAGGAUCCAAGUCAGACCAUAUUGAACAUUGGGAAUUCAAAAUUAAACCCAUAAAGUUUAGGAUUUUGAAGAUUGUAAAACAAAUGAAGAAGAAAUAUUUAAAACUUCAAGGUCACCAACCAAAUAAUAUUAUUGUGUUAACCCUCAUGUUGGGUUCCAGUCAUUUUGAGCCAGAGAGCAUUUUAUUUUACCUGAAAAUGGUAAAAAAAAAAAAGUAAAAAAAAUAGUAUUGCAUUGGACUAAAACUCACAGACUUUGUUUACACAGAGUAAAACCUAGAAAUAGUAAAAAAAAAAAGUUAAAAAAAAAAUGUUAUUGCAUUGGACUAAAACUCACAGACUUUGUUUACACAGAGUAAAACAACCGCCAAAAAAAAAUUCUGUCCUAUUAAUUUUUUGUACUUUUUUGUACUUUCUGAAACUGGU